rnacentral:SRP_RNA from 1 species
CCGUGUUCCACGGGGAAUUGCAAUCCCUUGACCCGAAGCUUAUGCGGGGUGCAGAGCCUGUUGUGAGGGUUCUUCGGAGGGUAUUGAUAAUUGUAUUAUUGUUGACGUUUAAAUUUAUGGCGGCGUAAGCUGUCGAACCGUGUCAGGAUGGAAACAUAGCAGCACUAAGACAAUCCUUGCGGGUGUCAUACAUUUAAAAAGAGAUAAUGCAAUUAAAGAUAUUGUUCGAAAAAUUCGAUAGACAGAGACACGG